rnacentral:lncRNA from 1 species
CUGAGUGAACCCCUGAGUGAACAUCUGUGGCUUCCUCCCACCUCGUCUCUGGAUGCACUCCUGUUCGAAUGGGUGUCUGUACAUGCUUGUCCCCUCCCCACGGUGGCGUGCUCAAUGGUGGCUCCCCACAGAUAUGUCCGUGUCCUAAUUCCCGGAGCCUUUGGGUCUCAUGUAGCCAAUGAUGUGAAAAAGUGAAGGAUGCUGAGAGGAGAUCAUCCAGAUGUCUUAGAGGAUAAAAAUGAGCGGGCAGAUGAAGAGAUACUCAGGGUGAGGUUUGGAAGGUGCACCAGGCCCACCCCAUGGAUGUGGCUCAGAGAGCC